CUUAAAGGGUCCUGAAGGAACGUUGAAGACGACGACGUUGAUAGGCCGGGUGUGUAAGCGCAGCGAUGCAUUGAGCUAACCGGUACUAAUGAACCGUGAGGCUUAACCUUACAACGCCGAAG
rnacentral:rRNA from 1 species